UAUUGCCCAGACUGGUCUCAAACUCCUGACCUCAGGUGAUCCACCCACCUCAGCCUCCCAAAGUGCUGGCAUUACAGACAUGAGCCACCGUGCCAAGCCAACUUUGUAUAUAGCAUUAUAACCAUCACUUUGAGAUCCAGUGCCUGAAAUAAGAGAGAGAGAGGGAAAAAAAACCCUUUACCUUUCUGUCUGGUUUGUUAACUGUUUGAUUCUUCACCUCAGGAUAGAUUUGCAGUCCAGCAGCGUAAUUGGAAUUGAUACUAUGUUACAAAGUCAGUGCCAAAUUGCCACCUGUGUUUUUCCUGCAGGUUUUGCCACUUGGAAAAAAAUGACUUAAGUACUGGGAGAUAGACUCUUCUAACACCAUAUGGCUGCUAUAACAGAACACCAACAACAGACAUUUAUUUCUCACAAUUAUGGAUGCUGGGAAAUCCAGGAUAAAGUCACCAGCAGAUCCAUUAUCUGGUACUAAUCCCACUCAUGAGGGCACCAUCCCCUUGACCCAAUUACCUCCCAGAGGCACCACCUCCAAAUAUCAUCAUAAUGGGGAUUUAAGCUUCAAAAUAUAAGUUUUGGGAUGACGAACAUUGGAGGACUAUUUUUUGAAAAAAAAAAACUAUCGUUUCUUUAUUGAAGUAUUUUGGCAACUUUGUCAAAAAUUAAUUGACCAAUAUAUUGGAGCAUGCUUCUGAAUGCUAUUUUCUGCUCCAUUUAUCUAUAUGUCUAGCUUGAAGCCAACACUAUACUCUCUUGAUCACUAUGAGCCCACUAACUGUCUAGUGUAGGUUUUUUGUUUUUCCAUGUAACAUAUAGAGUCAGCUUUUAAUUUCUACAAAAGAAUUGUGCUAAGAUUUUAUUAGAAUUGUCUUAAAUCUGCAGAUUAAUUUUGGGGACAUUGGCAUCUUAAUGAUACGUCUUCUAAUGCAUGAACAUGAUAUAUCUCCUCAUUUAUGUUUUCUUUAAUUUUUCUCAACAAUGUUUUCUACUUUUUGGCAUCAAACUUGUAUAUAUUUAAUUAAAUUUUCUCUAAAUUUUUAACCUUUUUAGGCUAUUGUAAAUGAUGUUAAUUUUUAUUUGUUUGUUUCUACCAUAUGGGAUAGAAUUAAGUUUUGUAUAGUGACCUUCUAUCCUUUGCUUUGCUAAACUCACUUCCUAGUUCUUGUACAUUUUUAAGAAACUGUUCAGGAUUUUCUACACUGAUGAUCAUGUCAUAUCUUUAUGGACUAAUCAUGUUUAUUUUUUCUGAAACAUCUG
rnacentral:lncRNA from 1 species